rnacentral:pre_miRNA from 1 species
UGUUAAAAAUUUCAUUUAUUUGUGUUGUUCGAAACUAGUAUAAUUGACGAAAUAAUCCGAUAGUGACACAUGGCAUACCAUGUGUACCAAUUUUUAAUAAUAGAGAUGAAUGAUAUUUUUAACA